UAGCUAUCCACUUCCUCAGCCCAAAUCAAACAUCUCAAAGGGUGACAAGUUGACCUGAAAGAUUUAUAUAACAACGGAGUGAGCUAAAAACAGCUCAGCAAGUGACAAAGCAUAUUCAGAACAAAAGGAAUGGUUUCAAACAAGUAAGGUAUCAUAAUGCAAGGCAGAAUACAAGAAUUCUCAAGGAUACCAUCUCAUUAGAUACAAAAUCAUAUGUAUCAUGUCAUUCAAAACAUAUUUGAUUCAUAAUAAAUGGAGCAUAGAGUAAUUGGAGCAUAUCAAUAGCGUACGAGAUGUUCUGGAGCAUAUCAAUGGCAAAUGGUACAUUUCGAAGC
rnacentral:lncRNA from 1 species